rnacentral:lncRNA from 1 species
AUUCUACAUAAAUGGGAUUAUAUGCCAUCCCUGGCAUGGGUUUGUUGCCCUUUGUGGUCACAGAAUGGCUGCGGGAGUUCCAGCCAUCAUGUCCCUGUUCCAGGAAGAAAGAAGGGAAAGGUUAAAGGGCAGAAGAGGAUUUCCUAGAAGCUUCACCCAAGAUCUUCCAUUUAAUCUCCUUUUAAAAACUGUGUAAGAGGCCCACAUGGCAUUGCUGAGUGGCUGGGAAAUUUAGCUUUUUAGCAGGACACAUUGCUUCCUUGAAUUGAAUCUGGGUUCGGUUAUAAGGAAGAAAGGAAGAACGAUUAUUAACUUGGUCUUUCUCAAUCCCUGCCGCAAGAUACUAGCCCAGAAGAGAAGACAAAGGCCAUUAAUAGCCAGCAAGAGAAAAGGACUCAACACCCAGGACUUUGUUUACUCCCCAGCAGGUGCCAGUGUGCCCUGGUGAUGAGUUAUGGGCCAAGCAUCUGGGAGAAGCUACUGGCUCCUCAUGAACCCCUGGUUUCGGCUGGCACCCUGCCUCCUGAGUGAUUUCCACAUGGUCGCUCUGCCCCAUAUCUGAUCCAUCAAGCUUGGCACUCUGAAUAUCUCCACCUCUCCCUCUCUAGGACAACAAGGCGUUGCACAAUGGGAAACUAUGCGAAUGAAAUUGCUUUAUUUCUUGAUUUUAAAGCAUUUGACUUGUUGAUUUUAAAAGUGACCUACAAAAGAGCACAGCUUAACAAAAUGAAAUGGAUCUCUUCUCUCUGGCUUUAGAUAGAUUUAUUUCACACUGGCACCAGACAGAUCAGAAGCCGUAGGGUGGAGACUGAGGUGGAGUGGAGAACACAGCCGGCAUUCUUUCCAGGAAGCGGUUGGAGCCAAACCCCAUGGGAGAAUUGAUCUGAUCCAACUUUUAACUAAUUGAUGAAUUGCUGUCGAUGGUCCAUUCAUUAAAACGCAC